GACGAACGCUGGCGGUGUGCUUAACACAUGCAAGUCGAGCGGUAAGGCUCCUUCGGGAGUACACGAGCGGCGAACGGGUGAGUAACACGUGAGUAAUCUGCCCUUCACUUCGGGAUAACCACCGGAAACGGUGGCUAAUACCGAAUACGACCAGUCUUCGCAUGAGGUGCUGGUGGAAAGUCUUUUCGGUGAAGGAUGUGCUCGCGGCCUAUCAGCUUGUUGGUGGGGUAAUGGCCUACCAAGGCUUCGACGGGUAGCCGGCCUGAGAGGGUGACCGGCCACACUGGGACUGAGACACGGCCCAGACUCCUACGGGAGGCAGCAGUGGGGAAUAUUGGACAAUGGGCGAAAGCCUGAUCCAGCAACGCCGCGUGAGGGAUGACGGCCUUCGGGUUGUAAACCUCUUUCAGUACCGACGAAGCGCCCUGUCGGGUGGUGACGGUAGGUACAGAAGAAGGACCGGCCAACUACGUG
rnacentral:rRNA from 1 species